GGUUAAGCGACUAAGCGUACACGGUGGAUGCCCUGGCAGUCAGAGGCGAUGAAGGACGUGCUAAUCUGCGAAAAGCGACGGCGAGGUGAUAUGAACCUUUGACCCGUCGAUGUCCGAAUGGGGAAACCCAGUGUGUUCCGACACACUAUCGUUAACUGAAUACAUAGGUUAACGAGGCGAACCGGGGGAACUGAAACAUCUAAGUACCCCGAGGAAAAGAAAUCAACCGAGAUUCCCCCAGUAGCGGCGAGCGAACGGGGAGCAGCCCGGAGUCUGAAUCAGCUUGUGUGUUAGUGGAACGGUCUGGAAAGUCCGGCGGUACAGGGUGAUAGUCCCGUACACGAAAACACACUUGCUGUGAACUCGAAGAGUAGGGCGGGACACGUGGUAUCCUGUCUGAAUAUGGGGGGACCAUCCUCCAAGGCUAAAUACUCCUGACUGACCGAUAGUGAACCAGUACCGUGAGGGAAAGGCGAAAAGAACCCCGGCGAGGGGAGUGAAAAAGAACCUGAAACCGUGUACGUACAAGCAGUGGGAGCCUCUUUAUGGGGUGACUGCGUACCUUUUGUAUAAUGGGUCAGCGACUUAUAUUCUGUAGCAAGGUUAACCGUAUAGGGGAGCCGAAGGGAAACCGAGUCUUAACUGGGCGUUAAGUUGCAGGGUAUAGACCCGAAACCCG
rnacentral:rRNA from 2 species